GACGAACGCUGGCGGCGUGCUUAACACAUGCAAGUCGAACGGAAAGGCCCUGCUUUUGUGGGGUGCUCGAGUGGCGAACGGGUGAGUAACACGUGAGUAACCUGCCCUUGACUUUGGGAUAACUUCAGGAAACUGGGGCUAAUACCGGAUAGGAGCUCCUGCUGCAUGGUGGGGGUGGGAAAGUUUCGGCGGUUGGGGAUGGACUCGCGGCUUAUCAGCUUGUUGGUGGGGUAGUGGCUUACGAAGGCGUUGACGGGUAGCCGGCCUGAGAGGGUGACCGGCCACAUUGGGACUGAGAUACGGCCCAGACUCCUACGGGAGACAGCAGUGGGGAAUAUUGCACAAUGGGCGGAAGCCUGAUGCAGCAACGCCGCGUGCGGGAUGGCGGCCUUCGGGUUGUACACCGCUUUCGCCUGUGACGAAGCGUGAGUGACGGUAAUGGGUAAAGAAGCACCGGCUAACUACGUG
rnacentral:rRNA from 1 species